rnacentral:rRNA from 1 species
GAUGAACGCUAGCUACAGGCUUAACACAUGCAAGUCGAGGGGAAACGAUAUUGGAAGCUUGCUUCCGAUAGGCGUCGACCGGCGCACGGGUGAGUAACGCGUAUCCAACCUGCCCACCACUUGGGGAUAACCUUGCGAAAGUAAGACUAAUACCCAAUGAUAUCUCUAGAAGACAUCUGAAGGAGAUUAAAGAUUUAUCGGUGAUGGAUGGGGAUGCGUCUGAUUAGCUUGUUGGCGGGGUAACGGCCCACCAAGGCGACGAUCAGUAGGGGUUCUGAGAGGAAGGUCCCCCACAUUGGAACUGAGACACGGUCCAAACUCCUACGGGAGGCAGCAGUGAGGAAUAUUGGUCAAUGGGCGAGAGCCUGAACCAGCCUAGUAGCGUGCAGGAUGACGGCCCUAUGGGUUGUAAACUGCUUUUAUAAGGGAAUAAAGUGAGCCUCGUGAGGCUUUUUGCAUGUACCUUAUGAAUAAGGACCGGCUAAUUCCGUGCCAGCAGCCGCCUAA